AAAAUGCUUUGCAGAGCCUCGUAAAUGAGCAUUCAGCAAGCUGCUGUGGAGACCUCAGCACCAACUGGAGCACAGCCCUCCCACAUUUCUCCUUCACCCCCGCCUCCUCGGGUGGGCGUGCACCUGCUAAAGCUUUACGAUACAUCACAGAGCGAGGAGAGAGGGAGAACAACAGCCCCAAUUACAUGGGCAGCUUUUCUCUCUCUAAACAGAAGAACUAGCUGGACUGGAAGCUGGAUUUAUCCAAUGUCACUUGGAGAAAGAAAGAGAGAAGGCAAAGAAAGCUUCAGAGGAGAGCAGAGAUGAACAACAAGUUGAUACACUGACAGUAAGAACAUAAUUAUAAAAAUAGUUGUCAACCUCUGAGUCCCUACACUUAAAAUGCGCCAGGUGGGCCCUAACCUCAAUGACAAAUGUCCUCAUAGAAGACAGAAGAGGAGAAUGCGAUGCGAGAUUGGAGUGGCAGAGGUUAGAGUGGCCACGAGCCAACGAAGCCAAGGAAUGGUAACAGCCACCAGAAACAGGAAGAGGCGCGAAAGGAUUCUCCCCUAGAGCUUCCAAAGUGAGUGCAGC
rnacentral:lncRNA from 1 species